rnacentral:rRNA from 1 species
GACGAACGCUGGCGGCGUGCUUAACACAUGCAAGUCGAACGGAAAGGCCCCUUUGGGGGUACUCGAGUGGCGAACGGGUGAGUAACACGUGAGUAACCUGCCCUUGACUUCGGGAUAACUUCAGGAAACUGGGGCUAAUACCGGAUAGGAAUCCUUGCUGCAUGGUGGGGGUUGGAAAGCUUCGGCGGUUUUGGAUGGACUCGCGGCUUAUCAGCUUGUUGGUGGGGUAGUGGCUUACCAAGGCUUUGACGGGUAGCCGGCCUGAGAGGGCGACCGGCCACAUUGGGACUGAGAUACGGCCCAGACUCCUACGGGAGGCAGCAGUGGGGAAUAUUGCACAAUGGGCGGAAGCCUGAUGCAGCAACGCCGCGUGCGGGAUGUCGGCCUUCGGGUUGUAAACCGCUUUCAGCAGGGGCGAAGCUUGUGGUGACGGUACCUGCAGAAGAAGCACCGGCUAACUACGUG